rnacentral:sRNA from 1 species
GAAGGGUGAGAACCUUCGAUUAAGGUUCGACUUGAGCGAAAGCGAGAGAACGUUGCCAACGGCAACGGCCCGUAGGGUGAGGAGCGAAGCGACGAAUAAUCCUUCCCCCACCACCA